GGAACUGAAACAUCUAAGUACCUGAAGGAAGAGAAAGAAAUUCGAUUCCGUAAGUAGCGGCGAGCGAACGCGGCUUAGCCCAAACCAAUAAAGUUUUCUUUAUUGGGGUUGCGGACAUAUCAUAACGGAGAGGUAUCGUAAUUGAAGAGGUUUGGAAAGACCCACCACAGAAGGUAAUAGUCCUGUAUGUUAAACGAGAAGACUUUAGAUAUGAUCCAGAGUACCACGGGACACGUGAAACCCUGGGGGAAGCAGGAGGGACCACCCACCAAGGCUAAAUACUACCUAUUGACCGAUCGCGUAAAGUACGGGGAGGGAAAGGUGAAAAGAACCCCGGGAGGGGAGUGAAAUAGAACCUGAAACCCUGCACUUACAAGCUGUGGAAGCACAUUUCUUGUGUGACCGCGUACUUUUUGUAGAACGGGCCAACGAGUUACGUUAAGUAGC
rnacentral:rRNA from 1 species